UUGAAUUUUCGGGAUCAAGGAAUCGGUCAUGCCUCGGUAUGUACUGGUUUUAUUGGUUCUCACCUUCUAAAGAACCAUAAUGUCAUUUAUUUGGUGUUAUGGGGAAUUAGGACUGUUACCUUGAAAAAUUAGAGUGUUUAAAGCAAGCUUACGCUUGAAUACAUUAGCAUGGAAUAAUGAAAUAGGACAUCCGAUUCUAUUUUGUUGGUUUCUAGGAUCGAUGUAAUGAUUAAUAGGGAUAGUUGGGGGCAUUAGUAUUCAAUUGUCAGAGGUGAAAUUCUUGGAUUUAUUGAAGACUAACUACUGCGAAAGCAUUUGCCAAGGAUGUUUUCAUUAAUCAAGAACGAAAGUUAGGGGAUCGAAGACGAUCAGAUACCGUCGUAGUCUUAACCAUAAACUAUGCCGACUAGGGAUCGGAUGAUGUNUAUUUUUUUAGUGACUC
rnacentral:rRNA from 1 species